UACGUAGGUGACAAGCGUUGUCCGGAUUUACUGGGCGUAAAGAGCGCGCAGGCGGUCGAUCAAGUCGAGUGUGAAAGCCCCCGGCUCAACUGGGGAGGGUCAUUCGAUACUGAUCGACUCGAAGGCAGGAGAGGGUAGUGGAAUUCCCGGUGUAGUGGUGAAAUGCGUUGAUAUCGGAAGGAACGCCGGUGGCGAAAGCGACGGACUGGAUCUCUUCUGACGCUGAGGCGCGAAAGCCAGGGGAGCAAACAGG
rnacentral:rRNA from 1 species